rnacentral:rRNA from 1 species
UACGGAGGGUGCAAGCGUUAUCCGGAUUCACUGGGUUUAAAGGGUGCGUAGGUGGGUUGAUAAGUCAGUGGUGAAAUCCCCGAGCUUAACUUGGGAACUGCCAUUGAUACUAUUGAUCUUGAAUACCGUGGAGGUCAGCGGAAUAUGUCAUGUAGCGGUGAAAUGCUUAGAUAUGACAUAGAACAUCAAUUGCGAAGGCAGCUGGCUACGCGAAUAUUGACACUGAUGCACGAAAGCGUGGGGAUCAAACAGG